rnacentral:misc_RNA from 1 species
CAUCAUCAUCAUCAUCAUCAUCAACAACAGCAGCAUCAGAUACAUGAGCAUCAUCAAAACCAGCAGAUUCCUUAUGGAAUUAUGCAAUCAUCAUCAAUAUCAUCCUCAAUUCCUGGUAGCUUCAUAACCAAAGAUGCUGGAGCUUAUGACUUGGGAGAAUUGGAUCAAGCUCUUUUUCUAUAUCUUGAUGGACAAGACCCUUCCACUGUUCAAGACCAAAGACAGAGUUCUGGAAUGAGGCCUCCAACUCUGAACAUUUUCCCCUCUCAGCCUAUGCACGUAGAACCACCAGUAGCAAAGGCUAAUACUCCAGGA